CAAUUCAAUAUGCAAUACCAUCGUAUAUAUUCAGGGAUAUGGCCUGAACGUUUCUACCAAGCUGCCGUAAAUAGCUUGACUACGAGGUAAUGAGAUAGAGUC
rnacentral:ncRNA from 15 species